rnacentral:rRNA from 1 species
ACGGAGGGUGCAAGCGUUAUUCGGAAUUACUGGGCGUAAAGCGCGUGUAGGCGGUCCUGCAAGUCUGAUGUGAAAGCCCCGGGCUUAACCCGGGAAGUGCAUUGGAAACUGUGUGACUUGAGUACUGGAGAGGAUGGUGGAAUUCCCGGUGUGGCGGUGAAAUGCGUAGAGAUCGGGAGGAAUAUCAGUGGCGAAGGCGCCCAUCUGGAUGUUAGCUGACGCUGAGACGCGAGAGCUUGGGGAGCAAACAG